rnacentral:piRNA from 1 species
UAUGGUCGAUUUGAUGUUUAGGAAUGG